CAAUUAAGGUGUCUAUGAAAUUU
rnacentral:piRNA from 1 species